UGAGUUUGAUCCUGGCUCAGAAUCAACGCUGGCGGCGUGCGUAACACAUGCAAGUCGAGCGGGCGGAGACUUCGGUUUUCGUCAGCGGCGGACGGGUGAGUAACACGUGAGUCACCAACCCUCCCGUGGGGGAUACCCGGCGGAAACGCUGGUUAAGCCCGCAUACGCUCGAGUGAUCGAGGAAAGCGGCAACGCGCGGGGGGACGGGCUCGCGGUCGAUUAGCUAGUUGGUGAGGUAACGGCUCACCAAGGCGAUGAUCCGUAGCUGGUCUGAGAGGAUGAUCAGCCACACUGGGACUGAGACACGGCCCAGAGUCCUACGGGAUGCAGCAGUCAGGAAUAUUGCGCAAUGGAGGAAACUCUGACGCAGCGACGCCGCGUGGGUGAUGAAGGCCUUCGGGUCGUAAAGCCCUGUCGGAGGGGAAGAAAAGUCUGUUGGCUAAUAUCCAGCGGACCUUUGACGGUACCCUCAAAGGAAGCACCGGCUAACUCCGUGCCAGCAGCCGCGGUAAUACGAAGGGGGCUAGCGUUGCUCGGAAUCACUGGGCGUAAAGCGCACGUAGGCGGCUUUUUAAGUCAGGGGUGAAAUCCUGGAGCUCAACUCCAGAACUGCCUUUGAUACUGAGAGGCUUGAGUCCGGGAGAGGUGAGUGGAACUGCGAGUGUAGAGGUGAAAUUCGUAGAUAUUCGCAAGAACACCAGUGGCGAAGGCGGCUCACUGGCCCGGUACUGACGCUGAGGUGCGAAAGCGUGGGGAGCAAACAGGAUUAGAUACCCUGGUAGUCCACGCCGUAAACGAUGGAUGCUAGCCGUUGUCGGGUUUACCCGUCAGUGGCGCAGCUAACGCAUUAAGCAUCCCGCCUGGGGAGUACGGUCGCAAGAUUAAAACUCAAAGGAAUUGACGG
rnacentral:rRNA from 1 species